rnacentral:rRNA from 1 species
GAUGAACGCUGGCGGCGUGCCUAAUACAUGCAAGUCGAGCGAACAGAUGAGGAGCUUGCUCCUCUGACGUUAGCGGCGGACGGGUGAGUAACACGUGGAUAACCUACCUAUCAGACUGGGAUAACUUCGGGAAACCGGCGCUAAUACCGGAUAAUAUAUUGAACCGCAUGGUUCAAUAGUGAAAGACGGUUUUGCUGUCCCUUAUAGAUGGAUCCGCGCCGCAUUAGCUAGUUGGUAAGGUAACGGCUUACCAAGGCAACGAUGCGUAGCCGACCUGAGAGGGUGAUCGGCCACACUGGAACUGAGACACGGUCCAGACUCCUACGGGAGGCAGCAGUAGGGAAUCUUCCGCAAUGGGCGAAAGCCUGACGGAGCAACGCCGCGUGAGUGAUGAAGGUCUUCGGAUCGUAAAACUCUGUUAUUAGGGAAGAACAAAUGUGUAAGUAACUAUGCACGUCUUGACGGUACCUAAUCAGAAAGCCACGGCUAACUACGUG